rnacentral:lncRNA from 1 species
AAUCAGCCCCUCUCCCUGGUCUUCAACAGAACCAGCAGUCUUCAGUUCAGCAAUCAACACAACCCAUGAUGCAGCAGCAUCCACAAUCAGUCCUUAGGCCGCAGCAACAACAGCAACAAACUGUGGGUAUUCAUCAACAGCAAACACCAAUGCCACAGCAGUCAGUAAUGCCAUCACAACAACAGCAACAGCAGCAGCUAAUGGGACAACAACCAAACACUGUAAACAUGCAGCAGAGUCAGUUGAUUGGCCAACAAAACAAUGUUGGAGACAUGCAGCAGCAGCAGAGGUUGCUUGGCCAGCAGAGUAAUCUUCCAAACUUGCAGCAGCAACAACAGCAGCAACAGCAACAGCAACAGCAACAGCAGCAGCAGUUAAUGGCUCAGCAAAACCUCUCAAGUAUGCAUCAUCAACAGUUGGGCCCACAAAGUAAUGUUUCAGGAUUACAGCAGCAGCCG